UACGUAGGGUGCAAGCGUUGUCCGGAAUUAUUGGGCGUAAAGAGCUCGUAGGCGGUCUGUCGCGUCGGCUGUGAAAACCCGAGGCUCAACCUCGGGCCUGCAGUCGAUACGGGCAAACUAGAGUACUGCAGGGGGGACUGGAAUUCCUGGUGUAGCGGUGAAAUGCGCAGAUAUCAGGAGGAACACCGGUGGCGAAGGCGGGUCUCUGGGCAGUAACUGACGCUGAGGAGCGAAAGCGUGGGGAGCGAACAGG
rnacentral:rRNA from 1 species